GGAGAUGACCUGAUUGUGACAUCUAUCAUCUCAUUGAUCAUCAUGGUUGAUUGGGCUGAUCUGGCUGAGAAGAUGAGUAUCUACUUUGUACCACUCCAUGUAUUUACCUCCUGAAUCUGAAUGCUUGGUGAAAGAGGACAGCAAAUAGAAGUAUUCUAUGAAGAGUAUAUGAUAGCUGCACCUCCCUACAAAAAUUCUCAAGUAAACAAGAUCUCCAAGUAAACAUGCUGGAGCCCUUUUGGUCAUAACUGAUAACAAUGGUGGUUUGGCCUCUAU
rnacentral:snRNA from 1 species